ensembl:antisense
ACCACCAGCCUCACCCCUCCUGGGACCCAGGCCUGUUGUCUUCCUUAGCCUGGAACCUAACCACAUUUCUAUCCCAACCCUCUCUGGCACCCUAACAACCCCUUCCCUCCUGGGACAGGCUGAAGGCACCUUGAAUCCUCAUCUUACCUCAGCUGAUUUCCCCAGCCCUGGUCUCUGUUCCCUACUUGAGGAUAUCAAUCCGUCCCAGACCUCGGCUGCCUCCCCUGCCGUCCCUCUCUCAGUCCUUUCUCUACCCCCAACCCCCGCCAAAAAAUUUUUUUUAAUUUAAUCUGGGACAUAUUUACCAGUCGGGAUUCUGUGGGGGCGGGGUCCUUCUCGCCUGGGACCUCAAGAGCGGACCUUUCCUUAGAUGACCCUAGAGACUGGCUUUCCAGGCAGGUCUCAGAAACCCAAAUGCUGGGCCCCCAUCUCCUCCCAUUCAGGAUUCUUGGAAGUCUAGGGUCCCAGCUCUCCUUAUCUGGGAAGAGAGGGGUCUGCACCCCCAGCGCACGUCCUAGGGGAACCUCAAGGUAU